GUUACUUUGGCAGAAAAGUGUGAUAGAUUUAGGAUCUUUUUAUAUAGUGGUUAAUACUAUAGGUAGCA
rnacentral:tRNA from 1 species